UACGUAGGUGGCGAGCGUUGUCCGGAUUUACUGGGCGUAAAGGGAGCGUAGGCGGACUUUUAAGUGAGAUGUGAAAUACCCGGGCUCAACUUGGGUGCUGCAUUUCAAACUGGAAGUCUAGAGUGCAGGAGAGGAGAAUUGAAUUCCUAGUGUAGCGGUGAAAUGCGUAGAGAUUAGGAAGAACACCAGUGGCGAAGGCGAUUCUCUGGACUGUAACUGACGCUGAGGCUCGAAAGCGUGGGGAGCAAACAGGAUUAGAUACCCGGGUA
rnacentral:rRNA from 1 species